rnacentral:rRNA from 1 species
UACGUAGGUGGCGAGCGUUAUCCGGAAUGAUUGGGCGUAAAGGGAGCGUAGGCGGGACGGCAAGUCAGAUGUGAAAACUGAGGGCUCAACUUUCAGACUGCAUUUGAAACUGCUGUUCUUGAGUGAAGUAGAGGUAAGCGGAAUUCCUAGUGUAGCGGUGAAAUGCGUAGAUAUUAGGAGGAACAUCGGUGGCGAAGGCGGCUUACUGGGCUUUUACUAACGCUGAGGCUCGAAAGCGUGGGGAGCAAACAGG